rnacentral:rRNA from 1 species
AUGCACGCUGGCGGCGUGCCUAAUACCUGCCAGUCGAGCGAACAGAUGAGGAGCUUGCUCCUCUGACGUUAGCGGCGGACGGGUGAGUAACACGUGGAUAACCUACCUAUAAGACUGGGAUAACUUCGGGAAACCGGAGCUAAUACCGGAUAAUAUAUUGAACCGCAUGGUUCAAUAGUGAAAGACGGUUUUGCUGUCACUUAUAGAUGGAUCCGCGCCGCAUUAGCUAGUUGGUAAGGUAACGGCUUACCAAGGCAACGAUGCGUAGCCGACCUGAGAGGGUGAUCGGCCACACUGGAACUGAGACACGGUCCAGACUCCUACGGGAGGCGGCAGUAGGGAAUCUUCCGCAAUGGGCGAAAGCCUGACGGAGCAACGCCGCGUGAGUGAUGAAGGUCUUCGGAUCGUAAAACUCUGUUAUUAGGGAAGAACAAAUGUGUAAGUAACUAUGCACGUCUUGACGGUACCUAAUCAGAAAGCCACGGCUAACUACGUG